rnacentral:lncRNA from 1 species
UCUACUAUAAGGCUGGCUACUCUACUGUAAUACACCAUACAGUAAGACUGGCUACUCUACUGUAAUACACCAUACAGUAAGACUGGCUACUCUACUGUAAUACACCAUACAGUAAGACUUGCUACUCUACUGUAAUACACCAUACAGUAAGACUUGCUACUCUACUGUAAUACACCAUACAGUAAGGCUGACUACUCUACUGUAAUACACCAUACAGUAAGACUUGCUACUCUACUGUAAUACACCAUACAGUAAGGCUGGCUACUCUACUGUAAUACACCAUACAGUAAGACUUGCUACUCUACUAUAAUACACCAUACAGUAAGACUGGCUACUCUACUGUAAUACACCAUACAGUAAGACUGGCUACUCUACUGUAAACACACAGUCCAGUUCAUAGUGAAUGAUGGCAGGCCCUACUGCCUGUAAACACACAGUCCAGUUCAUAGUGAAUGAUGACAGGUCCUACUGCCUGUAAACACAGUCCAGUUCAUAGUGAAUGAUGGCAGGUCCUACUGCCUGUAAACACAGUCCAGUUCAUAGUGAAUGAUGGCAGGUCCUACUGCCUGUAAACACACAGUCCAGUUCAUAGUGAAUGAUGGCAGGUCCUACUGCCUGUAAACACACAGUCCAGUUCAUAGUGAAUGAUGGCAGGUCCUACUGCCUGUAAACACACAGUCCAGUUCAUAGUGAAUGAUGGCAGGUCCUACUGCCUGUAAACACAGUCCAGUUCAUAGUGAAUGAUGGCAGGUCCUACUGCCUGUAAACACAGUCCAGUUCAUAGUGAAUUAUGACAGGCCCUACUGCCUGUAAACACACAGUCCAGUUCAUAGUGAAUUAUGACAGGCCCUACUGCCUGUAAACACACAGUCCAGUUCAUAGUGAAUGAUGGCAGGUCCUACUGCCUGUAAACACACAGUCCAGUUCAUAGUGAAUGAUAACAGGUCCUACUGCCUGUAAACACAGUCCAGUUCAUAGUGAAUGAUGACAGGUCCUACUGUAAACACACAGUCCAGUUCAUAGUGAAUGAUGGCAGGUCCUACUGUAAACACACAGUCCAGUUCAUAGUGAAUGAUGGCAGGUCCUACUGCCUGUAAACACACAGUCCAGUUCAUAGUGAAUGAUGGCAGGUCCUACUGCCUGUAAACACACAGUCCAGUUCAUAGUGAAUGAUGACAGGUCCUACUGCCUGUAAACACAGUCCAGUUCAUAGUGAAUUAUGACAGGCCCUACUGCCUGUAAACACACAGUCCAGUUCAUAGUGAAUGAUGGCAGGUCCUACUGCCUGUAAACACACAGUCCAGUUCAUAGUGAAUGAUGACAGGCUUGUGUGGCAUAUGGCUAAUUUGCAUAUAGACCUACUGUAGCUCUGAUUGGCUAUGAACCACCGGUCUGCAGUAGACUCCGGUCCUGGACGAGACAGAUAUUUUUAUUAAGGUUUAUUUACUGCAGUGUCUUAAUUGUCCAAACGCACGACCACUUUCUCACUCUACAUUCACAAAACCUUACUCUACGUCAUUCCCAAACACUCUAUGAAUUUAUGAAAAGGUUAAAAUGACCAUAUCUAAGUGCUCGCUUGACAGAAAAUAUUAAAAACAGGUGUCGUAGUCUUCCUGGGGUUGUACACGAACACAUUUUAAUAAGAUUUCAUGUAGGAGAGAAG